AGAGUUUGAUCAUGGCUCAGAACGAACGUUGGCGGCGUGCUUAACACAUGCAAGUCGAACGAGAAAGUUUUCUUCGGAGAACGAGUACAGUGGCGCACGGGUGAGUAACGCGUAAGUAAUCUACCUUGGCAUCUGGAAUAACUACGGGAAGCUGUAGCUAAUACCGGAUACGCUUAUAGAGUUACGACUCUAUACAGAAAGAUGACCUCUUCUUGAAAGUUAUCGUGCUAAGAGGAGCUUGCGUACCAUUAGCUAGUUGGUAGGGUAAAGGCCUACCAAGGCGACGAUGGUUAGCGGGUCUGAGAGGAUGAUCCGCCACACUGGAACUGGAACACGGACCAGACUCCUACGGGAGGCAGCAGUGAGGAAUAUUGCGCAAUGGGGGAAACCCUGACGCAGCGACGCCGCGUGGAUGAUGAAGGCCUUCGGGUCGUAAAAUCCUGUCAGAUGGGAAGAAAUGUAUGUAGGAAUAAUACCCUAUGUGCUUGACGGUACCAUCAAAG
rnacentral:rRNA from 1 species